UGGCCGCGGUAUUUUGACCGUGCGAAGGUAGCACAAUCAAUAGUCUUUUAAUUGAGGGCUGGAAUGAAUGGUUGGACGAGAUGGAGGCUGUCUUCUAGCGUAAAUCUUGAAUUCAACUUUUAAGUGAAAAGGCUUAAAUGAUUUAGUGGGACGAUAAGACCCUGUAAAGCUUCAUAAUUUUAUUUUACACAGCAAAAUUAGUACAUAAGUAAACUGUUGGGUGAAAUCGAUUAUUAGGUUGGGGUGACUUAGAUAUAACAUCAAUUGAGAAACUGUCUUACAAAAUAUAAUAACUAUAAUUAGCUUAGGUGAUCCUUAAUUUAGGAUUAAAAGAUAAAGUCACUUCAGGGAUAACAGCGUAAUUUCUCUUGAGAGCACAUAUCGACAGAGUUAGUUGCGACCUCGAUGUUGAAUUAAGGUCAUUUUUAGG
rnacentral:rRNA from 1 species